UACGUAGGGACCAAGCGUUGUUCGGAUUUACUGGGCGUAAAGCGUGCGCAGGCGGUUCGUUAAGUUCGAUGUGAAAGCCCCGGGCUCAACCUGGGAACUGCAUUGGAAACUGGCGAGCUUGAAUGCGGCAGAGGGGGGUGGAAUUCCGCGUGUAGCAGUGAAAUGCGUAGAGAUGCGGAGGAACACCGAUGGCGAAGGCAGCCCCCUGGGCCGACAUUGACGCUCAGGCACGAAAGCGUGGGGAGCAAACAGG
rnacentral:rRNA from 1 species